GGAGUGAGUUCAGCAUCUCUCAGCAUUCUGGACUGUGAAGAGCCCUCAGAUGGAGCAGCAUCUGCAGCGGCCUUGUCAGAACCUGAAGGCUCACCAUGCCUUAUCACACCAUGGAGGCCACUCCUCUUGUGGAAUUUAUCAAAUGACCCUCUUUGCCUCUUCUGAUCAGUUUUGGCUUGAAGUCCAUUUUGUCUAACUAUUAAAGAUGGAGAGGGGAAGGGAUAAUGGAAAAAAUAAACUUUGAAAAAUAAAGAAAAGGAAGGUUAAAAGUGUUAAAAGAUCCUCUUUGAGUACAAGAAAAUUAAUAGAAUUAGAUAAAAGUAACAGGAAAAAAACAAGAAAAAGAAGAAAAAAGCAAAAACUGAGAGUAUAAUAAAGAAGAAAUAAAGAAA
ensembl:lncRNA